UACAUUGAUUACACGCUUAUUCCACUGUUUCGUUCAUCGUUUACUAUUCCACCGUUUUGCUAUUACUUGUUUAUUCCCUCAGCAACUGUAAUAGAUAUUCAGGGGUGGGGGCAACGAAUUGGUAUUCACCGUUUAUUGAUUUCUUCUCCCCAAAAUUUUGAGACCAAAAUAUCCUGCUUUCUUCUCCCCAAAAAUUUUGCUCCAGAUUUUAUAUCCCCAAAUCAAGCAUCGAUUUGCCUUCAUCUUCAUCUCCCCAAAGCGACUGACAAACAAUAGAGGGAAGGGAGGUAAUCUUUUUUUAUAGUCAUCAAGCUUCAUCCUCUCUGACGUUUCCCUUCCAUUGAUUGCAAAGAAACAGCAGUAGCAGAACAAACCGCACCCGCAAGCUGGGGAGUUUCAGAGAGGUCCUCCGCCUCCGCAAAUGAUGCGGCAGCCGUCUGCUUCUUCCACUACUCUUAACUCGAAGUACCACCACCCUAGUGCUCCUCCUCCUCAGAUGCCGCCUUAUGACGCUCAUGGUGACAAUUUUGCUACGAAAAGAAUGAGAAAGCUGACCCAAAGGAGAGCUGUUGAUUAUACUAGUACUGUUGUGCAAUAUAUGCAGAUUGCUGCUGGAAAAUCCAUUAAUAUAGAGGCAAAAUGACUUGGUCUUGCUUGCCAUUGAUGUAUGGUAUUAAGAUGUUCUUUUUUUGCUUCAUGGGAAAAAUAUUAAGUUGAUGUCUUUUUAUGUCAUAUUUUUCCUAGUUGCUAAGAGUAUCUCCUCUUUAUCAUAGUUUGGACCAAUGCCAAUUGACUUUGUGUUCAUCACUAUUCAGUUCAUGAUUCAUGAGUAGAGCCUAUCAUUACACCCAUAAUCCUUGUUCAUGCUUAGGGGUGUAAUGGUUUAUAUCCUUAGGAAGAAGGUGAGAAGGUGUUUAUUUUGUUUGAAUACAUGUUCUCCUCUAUUGAUAUUAAACGCAAUUUUUUCCCUUUUGAAUCUCAAAUGAUGUUGACGUCCUUAUAUCUAAUAGCAGUGGUUUUACAGAGUCGAAUGUCACAGCGGGAUUCACGGGACAGGACAACAUUGCAAAUUCGAAUGUUCUAACCUUUUGAUGUUGUAAAACUGUAUAACAUAUGGAUUAUGACAUAGAAUUUCAUGAAUUUCAUGUAACCUUUUGUUAAUAUAUGAAUAUUAUGUUUAUGCAAAAUAUAAUUCUCAAGUUAUUUAUUACUGCUAA